rnacentral:rRNA from 1 species
GACGAACGCUGGCGGCGUGCCUAAUACAUGCAAGUCGAGCGAGCGGAACCAACAGAUUUACUUCGGUAAUGACGUUGGGAAAGCGAGCGGCGGAUGGGUGAGUAACACGUGGGGAACCUGCCCCUAAGUCUGGGAUACCAUUUGGAAACAGGUGCUAAUACCGGAUAAUAUUUUGAACCGCAUGGUUCAAAAGUGAAAGACGGUCUUGCUGUCACUUAUAGAUGGAUCCGCGCUGCAUUAGCUAGUUGGUAAGGUAACGGCUUACCAAGGCAACGAUGCAUAGCCGACCUGAGAGGGUGAUCGGCCACACUGGAACUGAGACACGGUCCAG